rnacentral:rRNA from 1 species
UCUUUUUGUUUUUAUACAAAGUCAGACCUGCCCAAUGAGUUUUAAAUGGCCGCAGUACUUUAACUGUGCAAAGGUAGCAUAAUAAUUUGUUUUUUAAUUGGAAACUAGUAUGAAUGGUCAUACGAAAGAUUAACUUUCUUUAUCUUACUUAAAUUAACUUUAUUUUUCUGUGAAAAAGCAGAAAUUUCAUUAAUAGACGAUAAGACCCUUUAAAACUUUAUUUAUUGUAGAAGUAUAAUUUUGUUAGAUUUUAGUGGUGUACUUUUUUAAUAAGUUUUGUUGGGGCGACAGGUAAAUUUAUUUAACUUUAUUUUUGUUUUUCACUAAUUAGUGUUUAUUUGAUCCAAAUGUAAUUUUGAUUAUAAGUUUAAGUUACUUAAGGGAUAACAGCGUAAUCUUGUUGGAGAGUUCUUAUUGAUGGCGAGGUUUGCGACCUCGAUGUUGGAUUAAAAUUAAUAUUAGGUGUAGCCGCUUAAUAAUUAGGUCUGUUCGACCUUUGAUUUUUUACGUGAUCUGA